GACAGAGGAUGCAAGCGUUAUCCGGAAUGAUUGGGCGUAAAGCGUCUGUAGGUGGCUUUUUAAGUCCGCCGUCAAAUCCCAGGGCUCAACCCUGGACAGGCGGUGGAAACUACCAAGCUGGAGUACGGUAGGGGCAGAGGGAAUUUCCGGUGUAGCAGUGAAAUGCGUAGAUAUCGAGAGGAAUACCAACGGCGAAGGCAGGUCACUGGGCAGUUACUGACACUGAGGCACGAAGGCCAGGGGAGCAAACGGG
rnacentral:rRNA from 1 species